rnacentral:sRNA from 1 species
GCCCCUAAUGAUAUCGUUCAAUGUAUGAUCCACGAACACGACGGCAACUAUUAUAUUAAACAUGCAAGGGAUGAGAUAACAGCAAGUGACAGGCACAGUGGCAAUGAAGAUUCAGAUUAACUUCGGAUUUAGAGAAUAAGCUUAAAAGCUCGACAAAUUCGUAUGUAUUCAAAUAUUUCUACAACUAAUUUAAAACACUCCAAGUGGAGCGUUAAAUAAAGGAAUAAUUAAAUGUAAA